rnacentral:rRNA from 1 species
GAUGAACGCUGGCGGCGUGCCUAAUACAUGCAAGUCGAGCGAACAGAUAAGGAGCUUGCUCCUUUGACGUUAGCGGCGGACGGGUGAGUAACACGUGGGUAACCUACCUAUAAGACUGGGAUAACUUCGGGAAACCGGAGCUAAUACCGGAUAAUAUUUCGAACCGCAUGGUUCGAUAGUGAAAGAUGGUUUUGCUAUCACUUAUAGAUGGACCCGCGCCGUAUUAGCUAGUUGGUAAGGUAACGGCUUACCAAGGCGACGAUACGUAGCCGACCUGAGAGGGUGAUCGGCCACACUGGAACUGAGACACGGUCCAGACUCCUACGGGAGGCAGCAGUAGGGAAUCCUCCGCAAUGGGCGAAAGCCUGACGGAGCAACGCCGCGUGAGUGAUGAAGGUCUUCGGAUCGUAAAACUCUGUUAUUAGGGAAGAACAUACGUGUAAGUAACUGUGCACGUCUUGACGGUACCUAAUCAGAAAGCCACGGCUAACUACGUG